UAAAGAUGUAGAAUUUACGUGGAGUAUGGGUUUUUUAAACCUUUUAUGAUAAAUAUGGCAUAAUUAACUAUGGACACUUUAUAUGGCUUUUUUAAAGUUUGGACAUAAUUUAUGGGAUUUUAAAGCCCAUACGGCUGGAAUUUAUUUGUCAAAAGCCCAUAAUGUGUGUAUUGUAGUUUAUUUAGGUUAUUUUAGUAAUUUUAGGUGUUUAGAUUUUUUUUGGUUUAGUUUUUUUUCAACUGGUUUUUUUUAGAGGGUUUGCAUGUAAUCAUCAUGAUUUGAUGGUUGCUUCUACAUUUUAGUUUAUUUUUGCAGUUUCCAAUUCAGACAUAUUUUCCCUAAACAACCUAUACUAUUAUCUCUCUCCCUCCCUCUUUUUUUUCAUUUCACCAUUUCUUCAUUUUCCUCUUUUUUCUUUUCCUCUUUCAUUUUCGUCCUCUGUUUUUUUUUUUUUUUUUUUUUUGCUCUCGAUUUUUGGAGGACAUUGCCGCCAUUGUUCUUCAAGUAAGAGCUACGGGUAAGAGCUUCCAUUGUUUGUGUGUUCUUCAAGGUAAGCAUGAGUUUUUUUUUUUUUUUCUCUAAUUUUAGGGUUUUUUGUUCCUUUUCAUUUAGUGGGUUUGUUGAAGUUGCAUUUGUUCUUAAUCGUUCUUACAUUCUUAUAUUUUCGUUUUUAUUUUUUUAUUUUGCAUUUUCUUGUUGAGUUAUGCUUAAUCCGAAGAGAGAGUGGGAAAAAUGAAAAUAGAAGAGAGUAGUUCCUUGAGAGAAAAUUAGGAGGAUUAAGAAAGAAACAAGGAGAAUCAUUGGAAAACAAUCUCAACCCAUUUUCUGUUUUAAGAUUAUUAGUGUGUUGUUGUUUUUCUUUUUUUUAAAAAUGUUUAAUCCGAAGUGAUUAUUGUGUUGUUGUAUUUAUUCAUAUUGGAUUAGUUAAGUAUUUUGUGUUUUGGGUUUUGUUUUAUGCUUUAGAAUUUUGUUGUUUAGUUUUUUUUUUUUUUUAAUUUUUGUUAAUAUUCGGUGUUGUUGUUGUGUUUAUUUUUUUUUUUUAAAUUUGGUUGGUUUUUGGAUAUGAUUUUUGUUAGUUUUAGUGAUAAAUUUUCUUUCAUUUUUUAGAAACUGGUUUUUGGGUAUGAUUUUUUUUUGAUGAUUUAGUAAUUUCGGGUUUUAGAGUCAAUGUGCUGUAAUAAAUUGUGGGUUUAUUGUGUAAUCUGAAAAGCCAUGUAAUUUCUGUUGAAAAUAUUGUAUCAAUUAUAAACUUGUAGGGAUUUUAUUUUGCAUGAAGAAAUUAUUGUUGUGUUUGAGCAGUUAUAAUCUUUGUUUUAUUUAUAGGAACUGGUUUUUGGUGUGUAUGGGUGGUUUUGAGGUUUGAGGUUUCAAAAUAAUUCUCAUAUGAAAAACCAGUUUCUAGAUCAUGAUUACAGUUUUAAAAAUAGGUUAGAAAUGAUGCAGGUGUUGUUUCGGAUCCUCGGAUUCCUAAUUUUGAAACAUGUCAAAAACAAGUUUCUGGAGUUUGAUUUAUGUUAUAGAUAUGUGUUAUUUGUGCAUUCUGUGAUAAUUUGGGUGUGUGGGUGGUUUUAAGGUUGAUGUUGCAAAAUGCUUGGAUCUUUGAAUGGGUUUCCUUUGAAAUUUGGAUUAUUAGUUUUAUUGUUUAGUUAAUUACUGUUGAGGAAAUUGUCGUUAUGUUUUUUUGUUUUUUUUUUUGUUGUUGUUUUGUUUCGAUUUUGUGUGAAACUAGUUUUCGUGUUAAUUAUCAGGAUUAAUUUGUUGUUUGUGUCUAAUGUUUAUUUUGUGUUUUGUUUUUUUAUCAGAUGGAGAGUGAAUCAGUCUCAAAAGUCUCAUCUAUUGUUGAAAAGAUUGAGUAGGCUACGAAGGCUAAAGGCCGACCAAAAAAAUAUUCACGAUCCUUUUGUCGAAGAAGAAAAACCUGUUGAAGUUGAAACGAGGAAAUCUCCGCGUAAAUCCAAAGCCGAUAAUGUUGUGGAAGAUAUUCCCUUGAAAGCUCCAACAAGAAGAUCUCCCCGGAAACUUUAAGUUGAUAAUCAAGAAGUUAAAGGUGAUGUUACUGAUUAUGUUUCUCACAAACACCGUAGUAAAAAAGUCAGUAAGAAGGCUACUAAUGUCCUUCAAGCAGUCAAUGAUGAUGAUUUUUCAGACUCAGAAGGUUGUGGCGGAAGUUGUUUCAAGCAAGAAAAUGAAAGUUGUUAUUGAUGACGCUAGUGCAUCAAAGAAAAGUAAAACUAAGGAUGUGGUGGAGGAUUUUAAUUUGGUAUGUCUUCUUUUUUCCUUAUAUUUUUUUGGUUGUUUUGUGUAUUGUAUUUGUUGGACAGUUGUGAUCUUGGACAUAUUUUCUUACUUUGAAUGUUGAGGUACUCUUAAACUUUGAAGCUCUCAGAAACCAGUUACAGUUGCCAUCCACACAAGUCACCACAUACUCUCUUGGUUCAGAUCUUUUGGUUUUAAACUGAAAAUUGUUAAUCAUAGCAAAAAAACCCACUGCAGUCUUCAAUAUUUUUCUGUCCUUGUAGAUCUGUCCUUUUUCAAUGUUGAAAACCUUAUGAUCUGUUAUUAUUUCCCUUUCUUCUUCUUGUCUUUUCCUUUUGUGUUCUUGUAUUUUCUCAAUGAUACAAUCAGCAACACUAUCAGGUACUUGAAAUAUGUUUGGUAAUGCAAGUACCUCGCUUAUUUCUGAGGUUUCAUCAUCGUAUUCCAUACACUCAUAUGUUGGCUGGUUGGUUAUUUGUAAAACCAGUUUCUGAACAUCUGUAUCUUGUCUUACAGAUUCACUUUCUGGUUUUUGUUGAGCAAUGAUGUGGAGUCUUGUCUCGUCUACUGUUGUGAUGCAGAGUGGAGACUCACUAACUGCAUUUUGUGUCUUUCUCGGUUGUAAGUAGAACAUCAGUGAGUUGUCACUAAUUAUUUUCAUUGGUGGUGAGUCUGGGCAUAACUGGUAAUGUAUUUCUAUUGCUGUGUUGCAUUUGAUUUCAGUCUUUACUAAUUCCAACAAACUUUUUAGAUCACAGUUUGUUGGUAUUAGUAGUCCAGUCAUUAUGUAGUCUUCAUACCUUUUAUCCUCUUUCCAUUGCCCUCCAUAUUUGACCACACACAUUAUUGAGUCCAUUCCUGUACAAUAUUUGAAAACGGUUAGUUAAAAAUUACAAUGUAUUAAGAAACCGGUUUCUUUUUUUUCGUUUUUUUUUAUUUAUUUGUUUUAAAAUUAUAUGUUUUUUUCACUAUAUAAUUGAGAAACUGGUUUCCAACAUUACUUUAUAUUUAUUUAUGUUUAACAAAUAAUAUCAUUUUGAAAACUGUUAGUUAAAAUUUAUAAUG